AAAACUAAUCGGAAAAUCGAUAAAUGACUUCCUUAAAGUACCUCCCCACAAUGAUUUCAUAUCAUACAAGGCUCUACACUAAAAAAUCAGAGAAAGUUCUUCGGUAGGAAAAUAAUCCAAAGAAAAAACUAAUAAAAUAUUAGUAAAAGUAUGAACUUUUUGGGUUCUUUUCAGACUCUAAACUAAUCGAUAGAAACUAUGUUG